AUUGAACGCUGGCGGAAUGCUUUACACAUGCAAGUCGAACGGCAGCACGGACUUCGGUCUGGUGGCGAGUGGCGAACGGGUGAGUAAUGUAUAGGAAUGUGCCCAGUCGUGGGGGAUAACGUAGUGAAAAUUACGCUAAUACCGCAUACGAUCUAUGGAUGAGAGCGGGGGAUCGCAAGACCUCGCGCGAUUGGAGCGGCCGAUAUCAGAUUAGUUAGUUGGUGGGGUAAAGGCCCACCAAGCCAACGAUCUGUAGCUGGUCUGAGAGGACGACCAGCCACACUGGAACUGAGACACGGUCCAGACUCCUACGGGAGGCAGCAGUGGGGAAUUUUGGACAAUGGGCGAAAGCCUGAUCCAGCCAUUCCGCGUGCAGGAUGAAGGCCCUCGGGUUGUAAACUGCUUUUGUACAGAACGAGAAGGUUUCUACUAAUCCUAAGAGCUCAUGACGGUACUGUAAGAAUAAGCACCGGCUAACUACGUGCCAGCCGCCGCAGUAA
rnacentral:rRNA from 1 species